GAUGAACGCUGGCGGCGUGCCUAAUACAUGCAAGUCGAGCGAACGGACGAGAAGCUUGCUUCUCUGAUGUUAGCGGCGGACGGGUGAGUAACACGUGGAUAACCUACCUAUAAGACUGGGAUAACUUCGGGAAACCGGAGCUAAUACCGGAUAAUAUUUUGAACCGCAUGGUUCAAAAGUGAAAGACGGUCUUGCUGUCACUUAUAGAUGGAUCCGCGCUGCAUUAGCUAGUUGGUAAGGUAACGGCUUACCAAGGCAACGAUGCAUAGCCGACCUGAGAGGGGGAUCCGCCACAACGGAACUGAGACAAGGUCCAGACUCCUAAGGGAGGCCGCAGUAGGGAAUCUUCCGCCAUGGGCGGAAGCCUGACGGAGCAACGCCGCGGGAGUGAUGAAGGUCUUCGGAUUGUAAAAACUUGUUAUUAGGGAAGAACAUAUGUGUAAGUAACUGUGCACAUCUUGACGGUACCUAAUCAGAAAGCCACGGCUAACUACGUG
rnacentral:rRNA from 1 species